rnacentral:rRNA from 1 species
GACGAACGCUGGCGGCGUGCUUAACACAUGCAAGUCGAACGGAAAGGCCCUGCUUUUGUGGGGUGCUCGAGUGGCGAACGGGUGAGUAACACGUGAGUAACCUGCCCUUGACUUUGGGAUAACUUCAGGAAACUGGGGCUAAUACCGGAUAGGAGCUCCUGCUGCAUGGUGGGGGUUGGAAAGUUUCGGCGGUUGGGGAUGGACUCGCGGCUUAUCAGCUUGUUGGUGGGGUAGUGGCUUACCAAGGAUUUGACGGGUAGCCGGCCUGAGAGGGUGACCGGCCACAUUGGGACUGAGAUACGGCCCAGACUCCUACGGGAGGCAGCAGUGGGGAAUAUUGCACAAUGGGCGGAAGCCUGAUGCAGCAACGCCGCGUGCGGGAUGACGGCCUUCGGGUUGUAAACCGCUUUCGCCUGUGACGAAGCGUGAGUGACGGUAAUGGGUAAAGAAGCACCGGCUAACUACGUGCCAGCAGCCGCGGUGAUACGUAGGGUGCGAGCGUUGUCCGGAUUUAUUGGGCGUAAAGGGCUCGUAGGUGGUUGAUCGCGUCGGAAGUGUAAUCUUGGGGCUUAACCCUGAGCGUGCUUUCGAUACGGGUUGACUUGAGGAAGGUAGGGGAGAAUGGAAUUCCUGGUGGAGCGGUGGAAUGCGCAGAUAUCAGGAGGAACACCAGUGGCGAAGGCGGUUCUCUGGGCCUUUCCUGACGCUGAGGAGCGAAAGCGUGGGGAGCGAACAGGCUUAGAUACCCUGGUAGUCCACGCUGUAAACGGUGGGUACUAGGUGUGGGGUCCAUUCCACGGGUUCCGUGCCGUAGCUAACGCUUUAAGUACCCCGCCUGGGGAGUACGGCCGCAAGGCUAAAACUCAAAGGAAUUGACGGGGCCCCGCACAAGCGGCGGAGCAUGCGGAUUAAUUCGAUGCAACGCGUAGAACCUUACCUGGGUUUGACAUGGAUCGGGAGUGCUCAGAGAUGGGUGUGCCUCUUUUGGGGUCGGUUCACAGGUGGUGCAUGGCUGUCGUCAGCUCGUGUCGUGAGAUGUUGGGUUAAGUCCCGCAACGAGCGCAACCCUUGUUCACUGUUGCCAGCACGUUAUGGUGGGGACUCAGUGGAGACCGCCGGGGUCAACUCGGAGGAAGGUGGGGAUGACGUCAAGUCAUCAUGCCCCUUAUGUCCAGGGCUUCACGCAUGCUACAAUGGCUGGUACAGAGAGUGGCGAGCCUGUGAGGGUGAGCGAAUCUCGGAAAGCCGGUCUCAGUUCGGAUUGGGGUCUGCAACUCGACCUCAUGAAGUCGGAGUCGCUAGUAAUCGCAGAUCAGCAACGCUGCGGUGAAUACGUUCCCGGG